CCCUGUCGCACCGCCUCCUCUCCAAUCAAAUUUCAUCCACCGCUUCCACUGCCUUCUACCGCCUUUCUCUGCUUUUUCUUUCUUCACGAUCCCUUCCCUAUCUGCUAUUCAACGCAUUCUCUGUAGAAAUCGAUUCACCCAAAACCUGUGUGUGCUUCUGAUCCAGACUUCGUCGAAUUUCUGUCGACCUUCAGUUCCUUGUGUGUCCUGUUUUUGACAUGUGUUCUACUCCUAUGCCUUAUGUUUUUAGGGCAGAAGCAGCCGAAAUCGACACCGACCCUCCUUCUAUACAUCCACACCUGCCUUCUUACUGCUAUUAUGCCCACCUUGCUAUUGUGACCACCCAGUCCAAAGUGAAGCAUAGUCGAUUCCGUGUCAUUUUCCUCUAGCAAAGCAGAGAAAUCAAGCAACGAUGUUCGGCGAGAUUUUCCCCAAAUCGACCCCUUUCACAAGUUACUGUGUCGCGAGAGCACUCUGAAUCGACAUCGACUGGAAUAGAUCAUCGUUCCCUCUUCCAAUUGCACUAAUCAGUUCUUCCCCCAAUAUUCAUUUGAUUAAUCAAAACCCCAAUUUAAUUAACUAUUUUUGUAUGAUACCACUACACUCCAGUCUUCCAAACGAAGUUUUAAUUCCUUUUAGGACAAUCAAUUAAAAAAUUGAUGUUCAUCUUUUUUGCAGGAAGAAUCACAUAUUUCUUAGAUUACGUCUCAUAAUGAAAGAUUAUUAUGGAACAUGAUCAUCAUUUAGCAUCGUCUCUUUAUCUCCCAAGAAAUAAUAUCAGUGCACAUCAGGUGCUCUACAAAAUGUGCGAAAGAAUGUUCGAAGCUUUUUUGACCAAGAAUAUUCGGAGCUUCUUUUGUCAUGGGUCUCUAUUGAAGCUUCAAACAUUUUUUAAUGUUAACAUCACCAACAUGGCUAAUUUUUAAUCGAAGAGGCUUCACUACUAGAAUAAGUAAUGAACAUGGACCAAAAUAGGUUUAUCUUGAAAAUAUGAUAGACCAUCAAGAUGGUUUUCAAAGGAUGGCUAAAUGGUGGACACAAUUAAUGAAUAUGGUCACUUACAGAGCGAACGGCAACGUCUCUUGGAAAUUCAACUUCAGCUUCACCAUCAUUUGGGCCACCGGUAGUCAUAUCAGGAUUUUAUCAUUUUCCAAAAAGAUUUCUCCACAUAUGUUCAUCAAGUUUGCACACCUAUGUUUCUGGACCAGGAUCAAAGUUAGAGCGUUCUCACAAUUUCCUAAUUCAUGGCUUUAGUGGUCAAUUCCGCCAUUCAAAAACUUUCCACCCUUCAACUUAAUGAACUCUACACAUCUUCAUCUCCUAAUCUCCAAAAAACCUCUCAAUUCUAUCUCCCGAACAUAUAGAGCUCGGAAAGAUGUUGUUGGAAACGGGGCAUGUUCAUUGUUUGAAAAUUGGUAUGAUCCUAGUGUUGAUGACGAUGAUAAAAAAAGCUCUGAUUGCUCAAGUAAUUUUACUUGCUGCUAGGCUAAUGUGAUGAAUCAGGCAAUUAAUUUAGGUAGAUCUGCUUAAUUCAAGCUACCCUGGAGGUUUGGCAUCAUAUAUCAAGACUAUUAGAGAACUCUUGGCAUUCAUUUGUCCGUUAUCAGCUCUCCUUAGGGAGAUCGAGGAUAAACUUUACUAAAUGAUGUUGGAAAAUGUAUCAAAAAGAAAGAAAAUAAGCUCUUCAUUGAAAGGGAGAAGCUGAGAAAGCAGUCCUUGAUGAAGUUAGAAAUACAGGAGCAAGUUAGAGAGAGGCAAUAAAUGGAAAAGACGAUGCAAAAACUCAUUAAGACGAUGGAUCACUUUGAAAAGGAAAAAAAGGAAGAGGUUGCCCCUCUCAUUGAAGCUGCUUUCCAAAAGUAUUUAGCUAAAGAUAAACUUUGUCGUAAACACCAUCAACUAUCUGAGUAAAUGAAGCUGAAAAUGUUACUUUAAAUGUUCUAUUUCAUCAGAGUAAACAACAAAAAUAACAACAAAUCUAGAAAAUACAUUCCGUUUGCAUGGAUCUCUUCACUAGUUUUACUUAAAAAGAUUAACCAAAUAUAAAUAUGUUUGAGUCGAUAUGCAUUUGCUAACAGAUGAACAUAACUAUUUUUAGGUCGAUAUGUAUCUGGAAAAAGAACAUAAAGAAGUAACAUGACAUGCGUUUUUUUUUUUUGAGAAAUGUGUGUUGUAAUUUUUUUUUAUUAAUAAUAGA